UGCAAGUCGAACGGAGGCAGCGAUGCUUCAGUGGCGGACGGGUGAGUAAUGCGUAGGAAUCUGCCUGGCAAUGGGGGACAACCUGGGGAAACUCAGGCUAAUACCGCAUACGCUCGCGAGAGGAAAGCGGGGGACCUUCGGGCCUCGUGUUGUGAGAUGAGCCUACGUCCGAUUAGCUAGUUGGAAGGGUAGCGGCCUACCAAGGCGACGAUCGGUAGCUGGUCUGAGAGGAUGAUCAGCCACACUGGGACUGAGACACGGCCCAGACUCCUACGGGAGGCAGCAGUGGGGAAUAUUGGACAAUGGGCGCAAGCCUGAUCCAGCAAUGCCGCGUGGGUGAAGACGGCCUGCGGGUUGUAAAGCCCUUUAGGUGGGGAAGAAGGGUGGGGUACGAAGACUGCCUCAUUUUGACAUUACCCACGGAAUAAGCACCGGCUAACUCCGUGCCAGCAGCCGCGGUAAUACGGAGGGUGCGAGCGUUAAUCGGAAUGACUGGGCGUAAAGCGUGCGUAGGUGGUAACGUUAGUCAGCCGUGAAAGCCCUGGGCU
rnacentral:rRNA from 1 species